UACGUAGGGACCAAGCGUUGUUCGGAUUUACUGGGCGUAAAGGGCGCGUAGGCGGCGUGACAAGUCACUUGUGAAAUCUCCGGACUUAACCCGGAGCGGUCAAGUGAUACUGUCGUGCUAGAGUGCGGAAGGGGCUACUGGAAUUCUCGGUGUAGCGGUGAAAUGCGCAGAUAUCAGGAGGAACACCCUAUUGCGAAGGCAGCUC
rnacentral:rRNA from 1 species